rnacentral:rRNA from 1 species
AUUGAACGCUGGCGGCAUGCCUUACACAUGCAAGUCGAACGGCAGCGCGGACUUCGGUCUGGCGGCGAGUGGCGAACGGGUGAGUAAUACAUCGGAACGUACCCUGUUGUGGGGGAUAACUAGUCGACAGAUUAGCUAAUACCGCAUACGACCUGAGGGUGAAAGUGGGGGACCGCAAGGCCUCACGCCGCAGGAGCGGCCGAUGUCUGAUUAGCUAGUUGGUGGGGUAAAGGCCCACCAAGGCGACGAUCAGUAGCUAGUCUGAGAGGACGAUCAGCCACACUGGGACUGAGACACGGCCCAGACUCCUACGGGAGGCAGCAGUGGGGAAUUUUGGACAAUGGGGGCAACCCUGAUCCAGCAAUGCCGCGUGUGUGAAGAAGGCCUUCGGGUUGUAAAGCACUUUUGUCCGGAAAGAAAUCGCGCUGGUUAAUACCUGGCGUGGAUGACGGUACCGGAAGAAUAAGCACCGGCUAACUACGUG